rnacentral:rRNA from 1 species
UACAGAGACUGCAAGCGUUAUUCGGAUUCACUGGGCGUAAAGGGUGCGCAGGCGGCCGGGUGUGUCAGAUGUGAAAUCCCGAGGCUUAACCUCGGAACUGCGUCUGAAACUACUCGGCUAGAGUACUGGAGAGGGUAACGGAAUUCACGGUGUAGCAGUGAAGUGCGUAGAUAUCGUGAGGAACACCAGAGGCGAAGGCGGUUACCUGGACAGUUACUGACGCUCAGGCACGAAAGCAUGGGGAGCAAAAGGG